AAUAAAAAUUAUGCAAAACUAGUUAAUUUAAAAUUCAGAAAUAAAAGUCCCCCACCGUUUCCAAAGAGUUGCCUUCCUAUAAAAUGCAGAAAAAAACAUCUAAAAAUGUUUUAAGUUCUUUUGAUUGCAUUCACAAAUGUAUCUUUUCAUAGUUAUUACCAAAGAGUUCCCUUCUUCUUUAUGAAUUAUUGAUGAAAAAUACCGGAAUACGGUUUUUCGUCAGUAUGUUCAAUAAAGUGUAAUUAAAAUUUUUAUACCAUUCCCUGGUGUGAAAACAAAAAAAAACAUCUAAUAAUUUGAUUAAGAAAAACUUGAAGGUAGAGUUUGAUAAGCACAUUUCAAUAACUAAAAAUAUUUUGAGUACAUUUAUUUUACUAUUUUUGAAACGCAAUAGACACGAUUUUGACAUAUGUCGCACCGGAAGGAACACCUUACCAUGCGAUACAAUGAUGGAACCAUCAUCAUGGUCAGAGUUGAUAUUUUUUGUACUACUUGUUGUUUACAAUAAUUUCUUCAGUUAUUAUGAACAUUAUCUGACGUUAAUUUGUAUUUCUUUUUCAGAUGCUAUCGCAAGUGAAAAACAUUAAUUCUAUGAAGAUGCUUUGUCCGCAUGCAUUUUUUCAGAGCGUUGGCCUUUAAUAAAUUAUGAUGUAACUAAAUACGGCUAUAAUUACGCAACAGUCGUGACUCCAGGUGCUUAUUUUGAAUAGAAAUGAUACUGCACUAGUCCUAAACUUACUGUUACAGUGGUUGUGCAAGGAACAUCGAGAUUAUAAUGCUGCCAAUAUUCUCAGGGAUUGCCGCUGUGAUCCUAAUGUUUUAUAUUGGAUCCUCUCUGACAGAUGAAUCGGA